rnacentral:rRNA from 1 species
AACGCGAAGAACCUUACCUUGUCCUUGACAUCCCAGGAACUUUCCAGAGAUGGAAUGGUCCUUUGGGGAGCCUGGACCCAGGUGCUCCAUGGCUGUGUUCAGUUCGUGUCGUGAGAUGUUGGGUUAGUUCCCGCAACGAGCGCAACCCCUGUCGUUAAUUGCCAUCGUCAAGCUGGGCACUCUAGGGAGACUGUUGGUGACAAACCGGAGGAAGGUGGGGAUGACGUCAAGUCCUCAUGGCCCUUAUGGGCAGGGCUUCACACGUCAUACAAUGGUGGGUACAGAGGGUAGCCACCCCGCGAGGGCGAGCCAAUCUCAUAAAGCCGGUCGUAGUCCGGAUUGUAGUCUGCAACUCGACUGCAUGAAGUCGGAAUCGCUAGUAAUCGCAGAUCAGCAUGCCGCGGUGAAUACGUUCCCGGGUCUUGUACACACCG